rfam:Danio rerio chromosome 10, GRCz11 reference primary assembly.
CUCCAUGCUGACCGUGGCUUUAGAUUGUUACUGUAGCGUUGGCACGUGGUAACAGUCUACAGCCAUGGUCGCCAAGGGGCA